rnacentral:rRNA from 1 species
UACGUAGGGGGGCUAGCGUUGUCCGGAUUUAUUGGGCGUAAAGAGCGUGUAGGCGGCCAGGUAGGUCCGCUGUGAAAGUCCGAGGCUCAACCUCGGAAUGUCGGCGGAAACCCUCUGGCUAGAGUCCGGAAGAGGAGAGUGGAAUUCCCGGUGUAGCGGUGAAAUGCGCAGAUAUCGGGAAGAACACCCGUGGCGAAGGCGGCUCUCUGGAACGGUACUGACGCUGAGACGCGAAAAGCGUGGGGGAGCGAACAGG